AGUGAACGCUGGCGGUAGGCCUAACACAUGCAAGUCGAACGGCAGCACAGUAAGAGCUUGCUCUUACGGGUGGCGAGUGGCGGACGGGUGAGGAAUACAUCGGAAUCUACUUUUUCGUGGGGGAUAACGUAGGGAAACUUACGCUAAUACCGCAUAUGACCUACGGGUGAAAGCAGGGGAUCUUCGGACCUUGCGCGAUUGAAUGAGCCGAUGUCGGAUUAGCUAGUUGGCGGGGUAAAGGCCCACCAAGGCGACGAUCCGUAGCUGGUCUGAGAGGAUGAUCAGCCACACUGGAACUGAGACACGGUCCAGACUCCUACGGGAGGCAGCAGUGGGGAAUAUUGGACAAUGGGCGCAAGCCUGAUGCAGCCAUACCGCGUGGGUGAAGAAGGCCUUCGGGUUGUAAAGCCCUGUUAUUAGGAAAGAAAAGCAGCAUGUUAAAACCUCGCUGUUCUGACGGUACCCAAAGAAUAAGCAACGGCUAACUUCGUG
rnacentral:rRNA from 1 species